UGCCUACAUGAAGUUAACAUGCUAGUAAAAUAGUGUCCUAGCUGUAGUGCACACUACUUAAGCAGCAAACCUAGCAACAUUAUCAAAAGUAUGCGCCCCCCCGACCCUCACACCCACGUGUUCAUGUUGAAGGUUCCAGAUUUAUUCUCUGUACUGUUCUAAUCAGCUCCACUCUUGUCUCCCGUGAAGGUUCUUCACUAGAUGUUGGAUUGUGUCUGUGGAGAUUAGUGAUGGUUCAGUGGUGUUGAGUCAGAGUCGUGUUCUUCACGUUAACCUUCACCUCCACGUCAUGUCUUCAUGGAGCUGCUUUGUGCACGUUGUCAUCAUGGAGCAGGGUUUGGAUUCUGAGUUCUACUGAAAUCAUCUGUACAAAGUUACACAGAGACGUUCUGUACGACUGUGUGGAAAAGUUUGGGGAACAAACACAUGGAACUGAUGGUCAGGGGGCACAAACUUUUGUCAGUACAGUUUAUUAAUAAAUAAAUUAUGCAAUUAAUUGUAGAAUUUGAUCAAUUUUGAAGAUAUUGUUACAGUUUCAGGGAUGCUAAUGCUAACUAACAAACAUGCUCUGUAUGGUAUUCUCUAUACUUUAGUGAGUAAAACCACACACACACACACACACACACACACACACACACACACACACACACGCGCGCGCGCGCACACACACACACACACACCUGCUGCUUACACUGCACAUGUCUGAUCUGGUGUUUUUAACCUGAUCUCUGAUUCGCCACAUGCUAAUGCAGCUCUAAAGCAGGACAGUGUGAGCAUUUAGUGUUUAUGAGGUGUGUGUGUGUGUGUGUGUGUGUGUGUGUGUGUGUGUGUGUGUGUGUGUGUGUGUGUGUGUGUGUGUGUGUGUGUGUGUGUGUGUGUUAAAUACACUAUUAAAGCACAAAGGCUUAUUAGAGAUGCAGUUAAGUUUAAAAAAAUAAUUGUUAAAAACUAUUUUAAGAA